AAUUAAUCAACCUGCUUAUAAAGUGACCUGCCCGCCAAAAACAAAAAUGAUUCCUCCCUUCGUCCCUCCAAUGGCGUCAGACAUCCCUUCUCAUUCGUGACGCCUGCAUAUUCGUGUUCAUGAAGGAGUAUUCCAUAGGACAUUGGAUUUUGUUAAUCUCAACAACCGGGUGCUAUCAAUUCGUGGCUUAGAUUUCCCUAUGAGCGUGAGGUGUACUACUCAAAUGACCUUCCUAAACGUUCUUGUACUGGCUGUUACAUUGACAACGACCUCAGGCAGCUCAACAUUGAACGCGACACCUAGUUGCUGUAUGUAUAACAACAAUAUGGAGACCCUAUAAUAACGUAAGACUGAACUGAAUGACCAUUUUCAUGUUUUCCUGUGCUAUAUAUCUUCUUAUUAUGGUGGCUUUAAGGUUAGAGUUAUCAGUAAAAGUAGUAAUAUGUCAUUCCCACGAUUUAUCAUGUUUUAUCAACACAUUUCUUUUU